UCCACACCCCAAGAGUCCCCACACCCCAGCGCUCGGAGCCCCGGAAAGCAGGAGAGGGACCCCAGUUAGACCCUGAGUAGGGAGGGAGUUGGGGGGUCGACAGAUUGGGCUCAGUGAUCGUAACCCGUCCCUGGAGGCAGCUUUCUGAGAGUCCAACCCCUUCCCUGGAGGAUGCAAAUUCCGUAGGGAGGAAAGCCUUCUGAGACUGAAUUUGUUCAUCAGAGGAUAAACAUUGUUCUUUGCAGAUAUCUGUGUCCUCGGGAGUUCUUUCAAUAAGGGUGAGAGGCUCCUGAAGAUCUUCUGAACAAAGUUUCUCCAAGUUCUCUGACUCUCUGGAGUGACGAUUCAGAGAUUUUCUCCCUGCAUCCAUCGCUCCUCCACCAGUGCAAGAACAACCAGUCUGCAUUAGUCUACAUUUGUUGUUCGAGAAGGGCAAUUACUAAUAGAUAAACUCAUGAAUGCGACAUCAAGCCCUAUCCGACAUGCUCACCACUUUUUUGAUAUUGUCCUUCGAAAUUUCCCCGCAUAUUUCCCUUCUAACACUCAAGAGAUCACCAGUUCCCAACUUAGAGAUUUCAUUCUUGAUCUCUUUCUCCAGGGUGAUCUCAUGGAUUUCACCUGGGAUGAAGUAAUGCAGUUCCUGGAACUUCCAUAAAAUAUGCCAUUAUGUCUCUCCUUACAAUAAAAGUGGAUCUCGA